rnacentral:rRNA from 1 species
AUACGUAGGUGGCAAGCGUUGUCCGGAUUUACUGGGUGUAAAGGGCGUGUAGGCGGAGAUGCAAGUCAGGAGUGAAAUCUAGGGGCUCAACCCCUAAACUGCUUUUGAAACUGUAUCCCUUGAGUAUCGGAGAGGCAGGCGGAAUUCCUAGUGUAGCGGUGAAAUGCGUAGAUAUUAGGAGGAACACCAGUGGCGAAGGCGGCCUGCUGGACGACAACUGCCGCUUAGGCGCGAAAGCGUGAGGAGCAAACAGGAUUAGAUACCCUGGUAGUCCACGCUGUAAACGAUGAAUACUAGGUGUGGGGGGACUGACCCCCUCCGUGCCGCAGUUAACACAAUAAGUAUUCCACCUGGGGAGUACGAUCGCAAGAUUGAAACUCAAAUGAAUUGACGGGG